rnacentral:rRNA from 1 species
AGCCUGAACGCUGGCGGCGUGGCUAAGACAUGCAAGUCGCACGGACGUAGCAAUACGUUAGUGGCGCACGGGUGAGUAAAGUAUCGCUAAUGUACCCCGGACUCUGAGAUAGCUGCCCGAAAGGGCAGGUAACAUCAGAUGAUAUGACCUGUAAGCAUUUACGGGUUCUCAAAAGUCCGCUGGUCUGGGAGCAGGCGAUAUCGUAUCAGGUAGUUGGUAGGGUAACGGCCUACCAAGCCGACGACGCGCAGCUGGUCUGAGAGGACGGCCAGCCACAUCGGAACUGAGACACUGUCCGGACUCCUACGGGGGCUGCAGUAACGAAUCUUCCACAAUGUACGCAAGUACGAUAGGAG